CAGUCGCCACGGUAAAACGGAGGGAGCUAGCGUUGUUCGGAAUUACUGGGCGUAAAGCGCGCGUAGGCGGUUACUCAAGUCAGAGGUGAAAGCCCGGGGCUCAACCCCGGAACUGCCUUUGAAACUAGGUGACUAGAAUCUUGGAGAGGUCAGUGGAAUUCCGAGUGUAGAGGUGAAAUUCGUAGAUAUUCGGAAGAACACCAGUGGCGAAGGCGACUGACUGGACAAGUAUUGACGCUGAGGUGCGAAAGCGUGGGGAGCAAACAGGAUUAGAUACCCCCGUAGUCCCUGUCUCUUAUAC
rnacentral:rRNA from 1 species